GUCUCGGUGGCGAAGUGGUAACGCUGUGGAUUGCAAAUCCUCCAUGCGCGGGUUCGAUUCCCGCCCGGGACU
rfam:Candidatus Kaiserbacteria bacterium RIFCSPHIGHO2_02_FTLL_49_34 rifcsphigho2_02_scaffold_505, whole genome shotgun sequence.